rnacentral:rRNA from 1 species
GAUCGGGAUAACACCUGGAAACAGAUGCUAAUACCGGAUAAUAACAGAUGAUGCCUAUCAACUGUUUAAAAGAUGGUUCUGCUAUCACUCUUGGAUGGACCUGCGGUGCAUUAGCUAGUUGGUAGGGUAACGGCCUACCAAGGCGAUGAUGCAUAGCCGAGUUGAGAGACUGAUCGGCCACAUUGGGACUGAGACACGGCCCAAACUCCUACGGGAGGCAGCAGCC